GACGAACGCUGGCGGCGUGCCUAAUACAUGCAAGUAGAACGCUGAAGAGAGGAGCUUGCUCUUCUUGGAUGAGUUGCGAACGGGUGAGUAACGCGUAGGUAACCUGCCUUGUAGCGGGGGAUAACUAUUGGAAACGAUAGCUAAUACCGCAUAACAAUGGAUGACACAUGUCAUUUAUUUGAAAGGGGCAAUUGCUCCACUACAAGAUGGACCUGCGUUGUAUUAGCUAGUAGGUGAGGUAAUGGCUCACCUAGGCGACGAUACAUAGCCGACCUGAGAGGGUGAUCGGCCACACUGGGACUGAGACCCGGCCCAGACUCCUACGGGAGGCAGCAGUAGGGAAUCUUCGGCAAUGGGGGCAACCCUGACCGAGCAACGCCGCGUGAGUGAAGAAGGUUUUCGGAUCGUAAAGCUCUGUUGUAAGUCAAGAACGGGUGUGAGAGUGGAAAGUUCACACUGUGACGGUAGCUUACCAGAAAGGGACGGCUAACUACGUG
rnacentral:rRNA from 1 species